AAAUAUGACUGACACUGAUCACUCUGUCCAGGUGGAUUCAAGAAGUGGUGAAGAGACAUCAUCAGCAGCUCCAUCAUCCACACCUACAACAUCAACCACCGCCAAUAAUUUAACUACUACUAUCACAACUUCAACUGUAACUACUCCUUCGACAUCCACCAGUUCCGGAAACAGCGGGGUUAAAGUCAAAAACAAAAGUGAUGAUAAGCAAGACUCAUCCUCAGAACCACCAAAAAAAUUUCAGAAAACCAAUCAGCAGCAAUCUGUUAAAGGAAGAAAUCAAAAUAAAGUUGGUAAAAAGCACCAUCACCACCA
rnacentral:lncRNA from 1 species